rnacentral:tRNA from 1 species
AACUAAUGAACUUGGUAUAAGUGUAUGCCUUGAAAGCAUAAAAAAGAAGAAAAUCUUCUAUUAGUUU